UGAUUAUCAGCUGUUUUGUACGGAAAACGUGGAAUUUAAAUAAUUUACUGUUUCACCGCUAUUGGCUAUACAUUUUAGUCAUGUCAUCUGCAACAGACGAUCAUACAUUUGUGACGGAUUAUCGAUAUAGAUAAAGCUAGGUACAUGUAGCAAUAGCAGUGGAAGCCCGUAUUUGCAAGCCAGUUGAGGGAAGGACAGAAUUCUGAAAAGGAGCAUGUUUUUCAUUUCCACACGUACAUGUGUAUCACUAUGGACAUCUUAUAUUUUUGUGGGAUUUUGUCCAGGAGUUUGC